rnacentral:rRNA from 1 species
AUGAAUAAUACUGACAACUCAACAGUGCCAAAUUCUGAGAUAAUUGAGGAUACAUCUACAGAAGCUGCUGAUGGAAAGAGCCUCACAUGGAACAGGAAGAUGGAAUCUCAUAUUGUUGGACGAGCUCAAGAAAAAAAAGAUAUUAUUGAACUAAUAUCUCAUCCAACUAGAGAAAGGUUUGAGGUGAUAUCCAUUUGGGGAAUGGGUGGUCUUGGGAAAACCACUAUAGUGAAAGACAUCUAUCAAAGCCAAGAACUCAUUGGCACAUUUGAGAAGCGUGCUUGUGCCACAAUUUUGCGUCCUUUCAGUCUUUUAGAGCUUCUCAGGAGCUUAUUUAUGCAACUUGACACGGAAACUUCUGAAAAGAAGGCUGAUGUGGGUUUGCCUGCAAGCAAAACGGAGAGAUUACCAUCCUCGAAACAGGCUCUCGCCCCUGCAAGAAAAAAGGAGAGAUUACCAUCAGUGAAAGAGAGAUUACUAUCAAUGACAGUUGAUGACUUGAUCAAUGAGUUGGCAAUAUUGGUAGACAAAAAAAGAUGCCUUAUUGUUCUUGAUGAUGUAUCAUCUACUGCAGAAUGGGAUCAGCUAAUACAACCAGUAAUUUUCCAGGAGAUGGGAAAUACAAGCCGAAUCAUAGUCACUACAAGGGAGAAGAGUAUUGCUCUACAUUGUUCAGAGAAGAAACAAGAAAAUAUAUACAAGCUUGAAGAUCUAGCGUACGAGUAUGCGCGUGAACUCUUCACUAAAAAGGUAUUUAGGAAGACAAUAGAUUUGGAUAAGCAUUAUCCAGAGCUAGUCAAACCAGCCGAAUUGAUCCUGAGGAAGUGUGGCCGACUACCCCUUGCAAUAGUCACCGUAGGUGGCUUUUUAGCAAACCAAUCAAAGACUUCUCUGGAAUGGAGGAAAUUUUAUGAUCAUAUCAGUGCCGAGAUGGAGAUGAAUCCUGAGCUUACAACCAUAAGAAGUGUUCUUAUGAAAAGCUAUGAUGGUCUACCCUUCCACCUCAAGUCAUGUUUCUUGUACACAUCCAUAUUUUCUGAAGACCGUAAGCUUGAGCGGAGACGCUUGGUGCUUCGGUGGACUGCAGAGGGGUACUCAAGGGAGGUGCGUGAUAAGUCGGCGGAGGAAAUAUCAGAUAGCUACUUCGUGGAACUUAUAAGCAGGAGCAUGAUACUGCCAUCUCAAAAAUCAUUCCAUAGUAUAAAAGGAAUAGAUUCCUGCCAAGUCCAUGAUCUCAUUCGUGAGAUCAGCAUCUCAAAGUCUAUGGAAGAAAACCUUGUUUUGAGACUAGAGAAAGGUUGUAAGCUGAAUAGGCAGCAGGGUAAUGCACGCCAUCUUGCUAUAAACGGCAAUUGGGAAGGAGAGCAGAGUGAUUUUGAGAUGAUGGUGGACAUGCCCCGUGUACGGUCAGUAACUGUUUUUGGGAAGUGGAGGCCAUUCUUCAUGUCGGUGAAGAUGAGGAUGCUACGAGUUCUGGACUUGGAAGACACGACAGGUCUUGUCGAUCAUCAUUUGAAGCAUAUUGGGAAGCUUCUUCACCUAAUAUACUUAUCUCUGAGAGGAGUGAAGAUAUUUAUCACCUGCCAGAUUCAAUUGGUAACCCAAUGCAACUGCAAACACUUGAUAUCAGAGGUACCUCCAUACUGA